AACGAACGCUGGCGGCAUGCCUAACACAUGCAAGUCGAACGAAGUCUUCGGACUUAGUGGCGCACGGGUGCGUAACGCGUGGGAAUCUGCCCUUGGGUGCGGAAUAACUUCUCGAAAGGGAUGCUAAUACCGCAUAAUGUCGUAAGACCAAAGAUUUAUCGCCCAAGGAUGAGCCCGCGUAAGAUUAGCUAGUUGGUGGGGUAAAAGCCUACCAAGGCGACGAUCUUUAGCUGGUCUGAGAGGAUGAUCAGCCACACUGGGACUGAGACACGGCCCAGACUCCUACGGGAGGCAGCAGUGGGGGAAUAUUGGACAAUGGGCGAAACCCUACGUAUACCACGACAAUAGCGCCGUGAGU
rnacentral:rRNA from 1 species